rnacentral:rRNA from 1 species
GAUGAACGCUGGCGGCGUGCCUAAUACAUGCAAGUCGAGCGAAUGGAUUAAGAGCUUGCUCUUAUGAAGUUAGCGGCGGACGGGUGAGUAACACGUGGGUAACCUGCCCAUAAGACGGGGAUAACUCCGGGAAACCAGGGCUAAUACCGGAUAACAUUUUGAACCGCAUGGUUCGAAAUUGAAAGGCGGCUUCGGCUGUCACUUAUGGAUGGACCCGCGUCGCAUUAGCUAGUUGGUGAGGUAACGGCUCACAAAGGCAACGAUGCGUAGCCGACCUGAGAGGGUGAUCGGCCAAACUGGGACGGAGACACGGCCCAGACUCCUACGGGAGGCAGCAGUAGGGAAUCUUCCGAAAUGGACGAAAGUCUGACGGAGCAACGCCGCGUGAGUGAUGAAGGCUUUCGGGUCGUAAAACUCUGUUGUUAGGGAAGAACAAGUGCUAGUUGAAUAAGCUGGCACCUUGACGGUACCUAACCAGAAAGCCACGGCUAACUACGUGCCAGCCGCCGCAGUAA